UUCUUUAUUAGUUGUCAGCUGCUUUUAUCAGAUUCCAGGCCAUUAUCCAGCAAACACUAAAAAUGUUUGAACAGUUGGAUUUCAAACAUUUUCAUUUUGUGGGGUGGUGCUUACAAAGUGGUACAGCUCUCUAAGCAAGUAAACA
rnacentral:lncRNA from 1 species